rnacentral:rRNA from 1 species
GAUGAACGCUGGCGGCGUGCCUAAUACAUGCAAGUCGAGCGAACGGACGAGAAGCUUGCUUCUCUGAUGUUAGCGGCGGACGGGUGAGUAACACGUGGAUAACCUACCUAUAAGACUGGGAUAACUUCGGGAAACCGGAGCUAAUACCGGACGAUAUUUUGAACCGCAUGGUUCAAAAGUGAAAGACGGUCUUGCUGUCACUUAUAGAUGGAUCCGCGCUGCAUUAGCUAGUUGGUAAGGUAACGGCUUACCAAGGCAACGAUGCAUAGCCGACCUGAGAGGGUGAUCGGCCACCCUGGAACUGAGACACGGUCCAGACUCCUACGGGAGGCAGCAGUAGGGAAUCUUCCGCAAUGGGCGAAAGCCUGACGGAGCAACGCCGCGUGAGUGAUGAAGGUCUUCGGAUCGUAAAACUCUGUUAUUAGGGAAGAACAUAUGUGUAAGUAACUGUGCACAUCUUGACGGUACCUAAUCAGAAAGCCACGGCUAACUACGUG